rnacentral:rRNA from 1 species
GAUUAACGCUAGCGGCAGGCCUAAUACAUGCAAGUCGAGGGGUAACAGGUGUAGCAAUACAUGCUGACGAGCGGCGAACGGGUGAGUAAUGCUUCGGAAUCUGCCCAUGUAGUGGGGAAUAACCAGCCGAAAGGUUGGCUAAUACCGCAUACGACCCUUGCCCACAAGGCAAAGGUGAAAGCAGGGGAUCGCAAGACCUUGCGCUAUUGGAUGAGCCGAAGUCGGAUUAGCUAGUUGGUAGGGUAACGGCCUACCAAGGCGACGAUCCGUAGCUGGUCUGAGAGGACGACCAGCCACACUGGGACUGAGACACGGCCCAGACUCCUACGGGAGGCAGCAGUGGGGAAUAUUGGACAAUGGGGCAACCCUGAUCCAGCGACGCCGCGUGUGUGAAGAAGGCCUGCGGGUUGU